GUUUCUGUAGCUGUAGCGGUUAUCACGUUCGCCUCACAUGCGAAAGGUCCCCGGUUCGAAACCGGGCAGAAACA